rnacentral:rRNA from 1 species
UAGCGGUGAAAUGCUUAGAUAUCACGAAGAACUCCGAUUGCGAAGGCAGCACACUAAGCCGUAACUGACGUUCAUGCUCGAAAGUGUGGGUAUCAAACAGGAUUAGAUACCCUGGUAGUCCACACGGUAAACGAUGGAUACUCGCUGUUGGCGAUAUACUGUCAGCGGCUUAGCGAAAGCGUUAAGUAUCCCACCUGGGGAGUACGCCGGCAACGGUGAAACUCAAAGGAAUUGACGGGGGCCCGCACAAGCGGAGGAACAUGUGGUUUAAUUCGAUGAUACGCGAGGAACCUUACCCGGGCUUAAAUUGCAAAGGAAUGAUCUGGAAACAGGUCAGUCUUCGGACCUUUGUGAAGGUGCUGCAUGGUUGUCGUCAGCUCGUGCCGUGAGGUGUCGGCUUAAGUGCCAUAACGAGCGCAACCCUCGCCGCCAGUUACUAACAGUUAAAGCUGAGGACUCUGGCGGGACUGCCAUCGUAAGAUGUGAGGAAGGUGGGGAUGACGUCAAAUCAGCACGGCCCUUACGUCCGGGGCUACACACGUGUUACAAUGGGCGGUACAGAAGGCAGCUACCUGGCGACAGGAUGCCAAUCCCUAAAGCCGCUCUCAGUUCGGACUGGAGUCUGCAACCCGACUCCACGAAGCUGGAUUCGCUAGUAAUCGCGCAUCAGCCACGGCGCGGUGAAUACGUUCCCGGGCCUUGUACACACCGCCCGUCAAGCCAUGAAAGCCGGGGGUACCUGAAGUGCGUAACCGCAAGGAGCGCCCUAGGGUAAAACCGGUAAUUGGGGCUAAGUCGUAACAAGGUAACCA